rnacentral:rRNA from 1 species
GAGUUUGAUCGUGGCUCAGAGCGAACGCUGGCGGCAGGCCUAAUACAUGCAAGUCGAGCGCCCCUUCGGGGGAGCGGCGGACGGGUGAGUAACGCGUGGGAAUGUGCCCUUUGGUACGGAACAACACAGGGAAACUUGUGCUAAUACCGUAUGUGCCCUUCGGGGAAAGAUUUAUCGCCAUUGGAGCAGCCCGCGUUGGAUUAGCUAGUUGGUGGGGUAAAGGCCCACCAAGGCGACGAUCCAUAGCUGGUCUGAGAGGAUGAUCAGCCACACUGGGACUGAGACACGGCCCAGACUCCUACGGGAGGGCAGCAGUAGGGAAUCUUGCGCAAUGGGCGAAAGCCUGACGCAGCCAUGCCGCGUGAAUGAUGAAGGUCUUAGGAUUGUAAAAUUACUUUCACCGGGGAAGAUAAUGACGGUACCCGGAGAAGAAGCCCCGGCUAACUUCGUGCCAGCCGCCGCAGU